rnacentral:misc_RNA from 1 species
AGUCGCUUUCGUCUGCAGUCAUUUGCUUAAAGUUAGUGAACGCGCUAAUAUCGUGUGCGUCCUGUUAUAACGCUAGUGUUGCCGUAGCUGUCCGUUGUGCCGACGAGUUGAGUGUGCUUCGAUUUUGUGAUUCUCUUCAACUCUCUACCUACUCCUGCAUAAACACAUACACAGCUCCGAAAUAAUAACAUCUAGUAAACCAAACAUAAACAGCCAGAAACAUGCAGUCACUACGGUGCAGUUUGGUUAUUUUCCUCGUCUUUAUCAUUUGUCAGUCGUGUCUGGCGGGGCCUGCCUUGCGCGUCAAACGUCAACGAGAUGAUCUGCUCUCACUGGAGGCGGAUAGUGCGGAUGCUAUCAAUAGCGAUUUGAAUCCUAUCAAUGCAGAGGCAGUUUCAGGCGAUGAUCUUGAGCGCAACAAAAGAAAAUUACCCGAUGCGACUCUCGAAGCCAAGAACGCAGUGCUGGGAUUUGUCUUUGGUAAAAUCGACAACUUCCUCGACACCAAAACACGUGUCAUCGAGCAGCUGGAUCGUGCCAACAUCGAGAAGAACAGGCAAUAUGACAUUAAGCAACCCGUGCCCAUUAAGGACUUCCAAACGCUCGUUACCGCCGUAGUUUCGCCCAAAAUACGCUCACUGGGAAAUAUUGCCAACGAUUUGACCACUGGCGUGCUGACCACAAUCACCGCUUUCAGCGGUUCUUCAGCGGGCAAUGGCAAUGCAAAUGCUGGUUUAGGUAACAUCGUGUCGAAGUUCCUCGGCUUCUCUGGUCCGAUUCUGCAAGGCUCUGCAGCUGGUCCUGCUGGUGGCGGUACCACAGCUGCGCCGGAUACCGACGAGGCUGGCUAUUAAGGCUGCUGCAAGUGGCUGCUGUGAUGUUAACUAAAAUACGUGUAUAUAUUUAGUGACAAUUAUUGUUACGCGCUGCUAACGAAAUAUCGAUCCACAUACACAUUUGAGAAUGCACUUUCAUUGAGAGACACACACACACCCAUACAAUUAAACACAUGUACAAAGGCGAAGCGCGCACACAUACUCAUACAUACAUGCAUACAGCGCAUGUAAUACGUUAAAUUUCAACUCUAUUUUAUUUAAUGCAGAAUACUGUAAAGUUACCCUUUUAAACUUCGAAAGCAAUGCUUUCCUACUAUUCUUGAAUAUACUUAUGUACAUAAUGUAUUGUUCUUGUUAUACUCUCUUUAAACUCUUCUGCGUAUAUUAGUAAUUUUAUUAUGUAGGCAACCAUACUCGAUUUGAUAUUUCUAAAUUUCCAACAAUUCGAAAAAAUAUUUUUUUAUAAACU